AUUGAACGCUGGCGGCAUGCCUUACACAUGCAAGUCGAACGGCAGCGGGGGAGAAGCUUGCUUUUCCUGCCGGCGAGUGGCGCACGGGUGAGUAAUACAUCGGAACUUGCCCUGUAGUGGGGGAUAACCAGUCAAAAGCUUAGCUAAUACCGCAUACGACCUGAAGGUGAACGAGGGGGACCGCAAGGCCUCAUGCCCUAGGGGCGGCCGCUUUCGGAUUUGUUAGCGUGUAGAGGGGGUAAAGGCAUACCAAGGCGACGAGCAGUAGCUGGUCUGGGAGGACGAUCAGCCACACUGGGACGGAGACACGGCCCAGACUCCUACGGGAGGCAGCAGUGGAGAAUUUUGGACGAUGGGCGAAAGCCUGAUCCAGCAAUGCCGCGUGUGUGAAGAAGGCCUUCGGGUUGUAAAGCACUUGUGUCCGGAAAGAAAUGGCUCUGGUUAAUACCUGGGGUCGAGGACGGUACCGGAAGAAUAAGGACCGGCUAACUACGUGCCAGCAGCCGCCGUAA
rnacentral:rRNA from 1 species